AUUGAACGCUGGCGGCAGGCUUAACACAUGCAAGUCGAGCGGGGUGAUGGUGCUUGCACUAUCACUUAGCGGCGGACGGGUGAGUAAUGCUUAGGAAUCUGCCUAUUAGUGGGGGAUAACAUCUCGAAAGGGAUGCUAAUACCGCAUACGUUCUAAGGGAGAAAGCAGGGGAUCACUUGUGACCUUGCGCUAAUAGAUGAGGCUAAGUCGGAUUAGCUAGUUGGUGGGGUAAAGGCCUACCAAGGCGACGAUCUGUAGCGGGUCGGAGAGGAUGAUCCGCCACACUGGGACUGAGACACAGCCCAGAAUCCUACGGGAGGCAGCAGUGGGGAAUAUUGGACAAUGGGGGGAACCCUGAUCCAGCCAUGCCGCGUGUGUGAAGAAGGCCUUAUGGUUGUAAAGCACUUUAAGCGAGGAGGAGGCUCUUUUGGUUAAUACCCAAGAUGAGUGGACGUUACUCGCAGAAUAAGCACCGGCUAACUCUGUGCCAGCAGCCGCGGUAAAAC
rnacentral:rRNA from 1 species